rnacentral:lncRNA from 1 species
UCGGAGAUAACAUUAAUUUGAUAAUGAGUAAUUUUGGUAAUGAACAGUGUAUGAAGGGUUUCGAGUAUGUGGUAUAUAUGGAGGUGUGAGCUAGGAGAUGAAGAAGAAGGAAGUAUAGGUGAAAUGGAAAAAUGUAAAAGAGAAAAAAGAAAUAGUUAAUUUAUGCUUGGUUGAGAUGCUUUUUUUCUUCUUCCUUAUGCAUGAUGUGUGAAGUAAUGUAAAUGGCUAUGUAGCCAUGCAUGCAAAUGGUCUCCUCACAUA